UUUAAGCAUAUAAUUAAGCGGAGGAAAAGAAACUAACCAGGAUUCCCCUAGUAAGGGCGACUGAAGCGGGAAAUGCUCAAGAUGUGAAUCUGCGCCUUGUGCGCCGAAUUGUGGUCUGUAGACUGUGACAUUACUAGCCGGGCCAAGUCCCUUGGAAAAGGGCAGCAGAGAGGGUGAGACUCCCGUCCGCCUGGCAAGAUGAGUCACUAGUCAACGAGUCGAGUUGUUUGGGAUUGCAGCUCUAAGUGGGUGGUAAAUUCCAUCUAAAGCUAAAUAUUGGUGGGAGACCGAUAGCGUACAAGUACCGUGAGGGAAAGAUGCAAAGAACUUUGAAAAGAGAGUUAAAGAGUACCUGAAAUUGCUGAAAGGGAAGCGAAGGAAACCAGUGUUGGAUCGAUCAUAUUUCCCUGGUAGCUUGCUACUUGGGCGCUGUGUUUGGUCUUGGGUUGUCCUUGGUUGUCAGUAUCGGAAGAGCGCUAAAAGAGUUGAUUUUGGUUGCUAGCGAUAUUGGUGACUGAGGAGGACGAAAUGGUUUUCUUUACCCCGUCUUGAAACACGGACCAAGG
rnacentral:rRNA from 1 species